rnacentral:snRNA from 1 species
GGACUAGCACGGCCCCAACACAAGGAUGACACGUAAAUUUGUGAAGCAUUCCAUAUAUAU